AGACAACAUUCACGGUAGGGCUUUCUAUGAACCCGGUUCGUUCACUAUCUCCCAAGAUAUCUAAUGAGGCUGUCACCUUAUCUGUUUAUUAGAUCACAUCCCUUUCCUGUUUAUCCUUAAUCUCUGUUACUAAAUUAAACACAAUCACAUAAAUAAUGAACAUGCACCCGGUAAUACAGUCAUAUCUUAAAUCCCAAAAUCACAUAGUGGUCAAGUAAUACAGUAA
rnacentral:lncRNA from 1 species